AGAGUUUGAUCCUGGCUCAGAGCGAACGCUGGCGGCACGCCUAACACAUGCAAGUCGAGCGAGAAAGUGACUUCGGUCGCGAGUAAAGCGGCGAACGGGUGAGUACAACGUGGAUAAUCUACCCUAAGGUCUGGGACAACCCCGAGAAAUCGGGGCUAAUACCGGAUAAGACCACAGUAUCCAAGGAUACAGCGGUAAAAGAUUUAUCGCCUUUGGAUGAGUCCACGCCCCAUCAGGUAGUUGGUAAGGUAAAGGCUUACCAAGCCUAAGACGGGUAGCCGGCCUUAGCGGGUGAACGGCCACAUGGGGACUGAGACACGGCCCUGACUCCUACGGGAGGCAGCAGUGGGGAAUAUUGGGCAAUGGGCGAAAGCCUGACCCAGCGAUGCCGCGUGAGGGAUGAAGGCCUUCGGGUUGUAAACCUCUGUCAGGAGGGACGAUGGGACUUUGUCUUGACGGUACCUCCAGAGGAAGCCCCGGCUAACUCCGUGCCAGCAGCCGCGGUAAUACGGAGGGGGCAAGCGUUGCUCGGAAUUACUGGGCGUAAAGGGUCCGCAGGCUGUCAGGCAAGUUGGUUGUGAAAUCCCAAGGCUUAACCUUGGAAUUGCAUCCAA
rnacentral:rRNA from 1 species